ensembl:lncRNA novel transcript, antisense to SPESP1
GGGGACUGGCAGGCAGCUCCACCUGCGCCUGGGUGUGGGAUCCACUGGGUGAAGCCAGCUGGGCUCCUGAGUCUGGUGGGGACUUGGAGAACCUUUAUGUCUAGCUAAGGGAUUGUGAAUGCACCAAUGGGCACUCUGUGUCUAGCUCAAGGUUUGUAAAUGCACCAAUCAGCACCCCGUGUCUAGCUAAUCUAGUGGGGACUUGGAGAACUUUUGUGUCUAGCUCAGGGAUUGUAAAUGCACCAAUCAGCACCCUGUCAAAACGGACCAAUCAGCUCUCUGUAAAGUGAACCAAUCAGCAGGAUGUGGGUGGGGCCAGAUAAGGGAAUAAAAGCAGGCUGCCCGAGCCAGCAGUAGUAACCCUAUGGAGUCUCUUUCUGUCGUGUGGAAGGUUUGUUCUUUCGCUUUUUGCAAUAACUCUUGCUGCUGUUUACUCUGGGCCCACACUGCCUUUAUAAGCUGUAACACUCGCUGCGAAGGUCUGCCGCUUCACUCCUGAAGCCAGUGAGACCACGAACCCACCGGGAUGAAUGAACAACUCAGAUGGGCCACCAUAAGAGCUGUAACACUCACCAUGAGGGUCUACAGCUUCACUCCUGGUCCAGCUAGACCACGAAUCCACCAGAAGGAAGAAACUCCAAACACAUCCGAACAUCAGAAGGAACAAAUUCCGGACAUGCUGCCUUUAAGAACUGUGACACUCACCACGAGGAUCCACGGCUUCAUUCUUUAAGUUAGACCAAGAACCCACCAAUUCCGGACACAUGUUGAGGAACCAAUGUCUCCAGCCAACAGCCAGUAAGGACCUGAGGCCUGACAACAAUCAGGGACUUUUCACAGUGCCUGGCAGAGUUUGGACACUACGUAUGUGCUGAAUAAUAUGUGAAAUUUUCUGAUGGGUGCCACGAAGUCAAAUAGAAGAUGACUUUGGGGAAGGAUACUGCAAGUGCAGUGCCAUGUGCUUCAUUCGGCCUCACAUCAGGUGGCACAACGUACCUGACAGUGGCAGCCUUAGCAGUGCUGAGCUGAGUAACACAGAGUAAACCACUCAGCCUUUAAAUCUAUGAUAUAAGCCUUUAUAUCAUUUUUAAUAUGUGAAAUAAUCAAAGUCAGAUUUUACAAUUACCUUAGAAAGAAACUGCAAACAUAAGUUCUAUUUGUAAAAUAUUGGAGGGAGGGUAUUUUCUAAUAUAUGUUGUAAAAAAAUGUUUAAAUGGUGAGCAUGUAGUUGGUUAUAUAAGCUUUUUGAAUACUUCAACUUACAAAGUGAUUGAUUCAAACUUGGUACAAUUAGAACGGCAUCCAGAGAAGCCUUCUUUAAUUUUCUAUACCACAUAGAAAAAUGCAUCGUCAAAAUGGGUGAAGCUGGGCUGCCUCUGAAAACAGAACUAUAAUGCAUUUGUUUUUUUGUUUUUUUUGUUUGUUUGUUUGUUUUUGUUUUUGAGGCUGAGUCUCCCUCUGUAGCCCAGGCUGGAGUGCAGUGGCACGAUCUCGGCUCACUGCAACCUCAGCCUCCUGGGUCCUGGUUCAAGCAAUUCUCCUGCCUCGGCCUCCCGAGUAGCUGGGAUCACAGGCAUGUGCCACCAUGCUCAGCUAAUUUUUUUUUUUGUAUUUUUGGUAGAGACGGGGUUUCACCAUGUUGGCCAGGCUGGUCUUGAACUCCUGACCUCGUGAUCCACCCGCCUCGGCCUCCCAACGUGCUGGGAUUAUAGGCGUGAGCCACAGCACCCCACCAAUGCAUCUGAUUUUGAUUGGAUUAUCAGUUCAGAAAUUUCCCAAUACCAAAUUCUACCACUCUGUCUAAGGAAGGACUCUCUCCAUAUUUUAGCUCCUAGAUCACCCUCCCUAAUCUUUAUACUACGUAAAAUAAGCUGUCUGCCUCUGCUCAAAAGGGCUGAAUGGGAUACAUGGAUACAUGAAUUGAUAGGGUUUUAAUGGAUUCUUUUGGAAAGGGGACGGUCCCACACCAUGCUAUGGCCUUCGAUGUUAUUUUUUAACAACUUCUAAAUAACAACAUGUUGUUUUUUAAAUGUGCCUGAAGAUGUAUAUUUACCAUCCAAGAGAGUACAAAUUUGAGACUCCAACUUCAGCGCUACUCCACUACAUGGCUUCUGUACACCUUAGUGAAUUGUGGCACUUGUGAGGGUCAACAAAACUCACCCUGUGGCUGGCUGGCACAUGAUGGAUGGACGUCGAAGAGGGUCAAAUCGUUUUAUGGUACACGAUGGCUAAAACAUGGAUAGGAAUGUCAGGUUGUCUGAUACUAAACUAUUUUGAAAUUCUGAGGUUGCAACCUCAGUCUUUAGAGUCUACACCCAAAGCUUUCUAUGGCCCUGUUCUUCCCCCAAAGACACCAGAUGUUGGAGAAGUAGGGUCCCAUGAGCCUUUUCAUUAACGUUUCAUGAGGGAGACUUAUCCUUCUGUAUGGAUGUCAUCAAAACACCCUGAGAAUAUACUUACAGUUGAACCAUUUUUUCUCACUUGAAUAAAAUUAACCUGAGUACAGUAGUCCCCCCUUAUCCACAGGGGGUGUGUUCCAAGACCCCCAGUACAUGCCUGAAACCAUGGAUAGUACCAAACCCCAUAUAUUCUAUGUUUUUGCUAUUCACACAUACCUAUGAUAAAGUUUAACUUAUAACUUAGGCACAGUAAGAGAUUAACAACAGUAACUAAUAGUAAAAUGAAACAAUUAUAACAAUAUUCUGUAAUAAAAGGCAUAUAAAUGUGAUCUCUCUCCCAAAAUAUCUUUUUUUAAUUUUUAUUUAUUUAUUUAUUUAUUUUGAGACGGAGCCUCACUCUGUCACCCAGGCUGGAGUACAGUGGUAUGAUCUUGGCUCACUGCAACUUGUGCCUCCUGGGUUCAAGCAAUUCUCCCUGCCUCAGCCUCCCAAGUAGCUUGGAUUACAGGCAACUGCCACCAUGCCCGGCUUAUUUUUGUAUUUUUAGGAGAGACAGGGUUUCUCCAUGUCGACCAGGCUGGUCUUGAGUCCUGACCUCAGGUGCUCCACCCGCCUCGGCCUCCCAAAGUGCUGGGAUUACAGGCAUGAGCCACCAUGCGCAGUCCUUUUUUAAAUUUUUUAAUUUAUUUUUAAUUUUUUGGGUACACAGUAGGAGUAUAUAUUUACGGGGUGCGUGAGAUAUUUUAAUACAUGCAAUGUAUAAUAAUCGCAUCAGGUUAAAUGCAAUUAUUUACCUUCAUCUCAAACAUUUAUCUUUUGUGUUGCAAACCAAUUACACUCUUUUAGUUAUUUUAAAAUGUACAAUUAUUUUUUACUAUAGUCACUCUGUUAUACUAGCAAAUACUAGAUCUUAUUCGUUCCAAUUAUUUUUUGUACCCCUAAAAUAUCUUAUUUUACUAUACCGUGAGUAACUAAAACCUCGGAAAGUGAAAGCAUGGAAUACUGCGUAUUUCCCACCCUCAGCGUGUGUGUGUCUUAACAAAGUCAGCCAGGGCACCUGCCCCCCUCCUUCUCAUCAGGCCUUCUUAGCAAAAUAGCAUCCUUGUGGAGGGCCAGGGCUGUGUCCUGUGGGUUAGUGAUAUGAUCAAGAUUCCUA